ensembl:lncRNA
UUUUAUGCACCACGAAGACCUCUUUCACAUCCUGAGGCCAAAUAGAAGCUGGUGUUAUGUCUUCUGCAUCUUAAGCAGUAUUCUGCCUGAAGAUCUGUUGAUGCAACUUCCUUCUUGUAUUUUCCACUUGUUCGUGUUCCGGUUUCAUUGGUCAUCUGUUUGUUCUUAAGUACUUUCAAGUGCUGUUGUCUCUGCCUUUCUUAGCUUUUAUUUGGAGAAGGAUCUCCUGAGUAUUGCCGUGCUGUUAUGGUUGCUGCAUCACUGACUUGGCUGAUGGAACUGAGAACAGGCUUAAAAAUGCAGAGGAGCCACAAUAAGUUGUGAAUGGAAGGAUCUUUAAUGAGCACCUGGGAGGAUAAAAUCUGAAUUUGGAUUGAUCUUAAGGUGAAGAAUUAGGAUCAAGCAACCAAUGUAGGCACUACAACAGUGUGAUUGUAGAUGGUGGAAUGCCACAGACCCAGGUUUGUAAACCGAGGUUGCUACAUCAAUCAAUCUCUGCAUGUCUAAGUGAUGUUAGAAUUCUUACUGAAAUUAGAGCAUUUUUAAUAAAACUCUUGCAAUUCUUUUCUGUAAUUAAUUUCAAAAGGAAGUUUUGUAAAUGGUAUCUGACUUACUGUCUUCGCUCUGUAAUAUUUCUACUGUGUGUGCAAUAAAAGCUAUUUAGUGCUU